AUUGAACGCUGGCGGCAGGCCUAACACAUGCAAGUCGAGCGGAUGAAGGGAGCUUGCUCCUGGAUUCAGCGGCGGACGGGUGAGUAAUGCCUAGGAAUCUGCCUGGUAGUGGGGGAUAACGUCCGGAAACGGGCGCUAAUACCGCAUACGUCCUGAGGGAGAAAGUGGGGGGUCUUCGGACCUCACGCUAUCAGAUGAGCCUAGGUCGGAUUAGCUAGUUGGUGGGGUAAAGGCCUACCAAGGCGACGAUCCGUAACUGGUCUGAGAGGAUGAUCAGUCACACUGGAACUGAGACACGGUCCAGACUCCUACGGGAGGCAGCAGUGGGGAAUAUUGGACAAUGGGCGAAAGCCUGAUCCAGCCAUGCCGAGUGUGUGAAGAAGGUCUUCGGAUUGUAAAGCACUUUAAGUUGGGAGGAAGGGCAGUAAGUUAAUACCUUGCUGUUUUGACGUUACCAACAGAAUAAGCACCGGCUAACUUCGUG
rnacentral:rRNA from 1 species